rnacentral:tRNA from 1 species
UAGCUCAGUUGGUUAGAGCACCUGACUGUUAAUCAGGGGGUCGUUGGUUCAAGCCCAUCCU